UACGGAGGGUGCAAGCGUUAUCCGGAUUCACUGGGUUUAAAGGGUGCGUAGGUGGGCUGGUAAGUCAGUGGUGAAAUCUCCGGGCUUAACUCGGAAACUGCCAUUGAUACUAUCAGUCUUGAAUACCGUGGAGGUCAGCAGAAUAUGUCAUGUAGCGGUGAAAUGCUUAGAUAUGACAUAGAAUACCAAUUGCGAAGGCAGCUGGCUAUACGAAUAUUGACACUCAGGCACGAAAGCGUGGGGAUCAAACAGG
rnacentral:rRNA from 1 species